rnacentral:tRNA from 1 species
GUGAUUGUAGCUCAAUGGUAGAGCACCGCCCUGUGGAGGCGGGUGUUGCGGGUUCGAGUCCCGUCAGUCACC